GAUUGUAUAUUCAAUUAUGAUUUUAAAUUGCAAAUUUGAAGGUAGCUGUAAGCUUAUGAUCU
rnacentral:tRNA from 1 species